GAUGAACGCUAGCUACAGGCUUAACACAUGCAAGUCGAGGGGAAACGACAUCGAAAGCUUGCUUUCGAUGGGCGUCGACCGGCGCACGGGUGAGUAACGCGUAUCCAACCUGCCCACCACUUGGGGAUAACCUUGCGAAAGUAAGACUAAUACCCGAUGAUAUCUCUAGAAGACAUCUGAAAGGGAUUAAAGAUUUAUCGGUGAUGGAUGGGGAUGCGUCUGAUUAGCUUGUUGGCGGGGUAACGGCCCACCAAGGCAACGAUCAGUAGGGGUUCUGAGAGGAAGGUCCCCCACAUUGGAACUGAGACACGGUCCAAAACUCCUACGGGAGCAGCAGUGAGGAAUAUUGGGUCAAUGGGCGGGAGCCUGAACCAGCCAAGUAGCGUGCAGGACGACGGCCCUAUGGGUUGUAAACUGCUUUUAUAAGGGAAUAAAGUGAGUCUCGUGAGACUUUUUGCAUGUACCUUGUGAAUAAGGACCGGCUAAUUCCGUG
rnacentral:rRNA from 1 species